rnacentral:rRNA from 1 species
AACAGCCCAGCGCAUAACCUCCCGGGCUACCAAGCCUGCGGCGGAAUGUUGCGUUAAGGGAAAGGUCGUUUAAAAGCCCUGCACUACAUGGCCUAAGUUUGGCUUGAAUUUCUCACUGUAUCCUAACGGCUACAACGGCUCCACAGAGGGUGUCAGACCCGUGAGGCUAUGUGAUUAAAUGUGCGUGGGUUCGGCUUUAUUCCCUGAGAGUCGCGUUGCUUGAGCAUGCAGCGCUAAGCAGGUCGUAAACUCGACCUAAGGCUAAAUAUAUUCACAGAACCGAUAGUAAACAAGUACCGUGAGGGAAAGUUGAAAAGUACUCUGAAGAGAGAGUCAAAAGACCGUGAAACCGCUUAGAGUAUAAGCCAAUGGUAUUCUGGAAUGCUGGAGUCUCCUGUGCAAAAUGGUUCCCGAUUGUGGGGUACGUCUCACGGGUAUCGUGAGUGCGAGUGAUCAUGAAGGCUGAUGGGCAAUCGAACCGAAAAGUGGAAUUGAGUUUAUACCACGGCACCCAAAUCUCGCGGGUCUCUGACAGUGGUAACAGGGAACGUUCUAAUGAGGAACUGAACCGAGGCUGGGCUUCAGCGAGCAUCAGUUUGCAAGCAUUCUAACGAUUGGCUCUCUAAACAGCACACCACAAUCCUUUAUAAGGUCUCCCUCGUGAGGUGUGGUCAGAGAGAGUGAGAGAGAGAAGGAGAUUUAUCUCUGACUUUUUUGAUCUCUUUCUGUACGCGAGUUGUGUCGCGUUAUUGCUCUCUUGUUGUGUGUGCGUUUUGGCAGCGUGCUCCAUGUCCCGUAUAUAUGUGUGUAUAACACACGGCUUUGGCUUGCCUGUGUAUAUGCAUUCGGGAAACGGUGGUUGCUCGAGAGCCGGCCAACUUUGCACUGCACCGUUCCAGACACGAACGGAAUGAUCCUAUGUGAAGAUUGAAUCUGACCAGCCAAGGCCCGGAAGUCAUGUUUUAGCUGAGCAUGGCGAGUUAAUUGCACGGUUGUGCCCUUGCGCCUCGGUGCUUUAAGCCCCUCGUUGGUCUCUAUGGGGGACAGGGUUGCAUUUGCAGCCUCGACUCGUCCCACUCGAUGACUGACAAAAGGGUUGUGCUGGGCUGUGAGCGAGGGGCUCUCGUCGGGUGGCGGCUGUUUGGUGCAUUAUUCCAGAACCAUCGGUCACGUCUCGAAACACGGGCCAAGGAGCAUAGCAUGUGCGCAAGUCUAAGGGAUAAGAAAUCCUGGAGGCGAAGUGAAAGCAAAUGGUGUGUUUAUGAGUGUGCUCCCUCACGGGGGUGCGCUUGUAUUCAGCCUGCGAAGAGCGUAAUUCCUACGUGCCUCCUCGGGGGCGUGUGGAUGAAUGCGUCACGCGGCUAAACUGUGUUGAUCCCGAAUCGUAAUCAAGCCACACUGGCGAUACGCUGGCGCAAACACCAGGCUCUCGUACAUGGGUAUUUGUUUAUCCUUGAGAGCACUGGAUAGCGUGCAUGCUAUAACCCGAAAKAUAGUGAA